rnacentral:rRNA from 1 species
GAUGAACGCUGGCGGCGUGCCUAAUACAUGCAAGUCGAGCGAACAGACGAGGAGCUUGCUCCUCUGACGUUAGCGGCGGACGGGUGAGUAACACGUGGAUAACCUACCUAUAAGACUGGGAUAACUUCGGGAAACCGGAGCUAAUACCGGAUAAUAUAUUGAACCGCAUGGUUCAAUAGUGAAAGACGGUUUUGCUGUCACUUCUAGAUGGAUCCGCGCCGCAUUAGCUAGUUGGUAAGGUAACGGCUUACCAAGGCAACGAUGCGUAGCCGACCUGAGAGGGUGAUCGGCCGCACUGGAACUGAGACACGGUCCAGACUCCUACGGGAGGCAGCAGUAGGGAAUCUUCCGCAAUGGGCGAAAGCCUGACGGAGCAACGCCGCGUGAGUGAUGAAGGUCUUCGGAUCGUAAAACGCUGUUAUUAGGGAAGAACAAAUGUGUAAGUAACUAUGCACGUCUUGACGGUACCUAAUCAGAAAGCCACGGCUAACUACGU